UCAAGUGAAGAAGCGCAUACGGUGGAUGCUUGGCAGUCAGAGGCGAUGAAAGACGUGGUAGCCUGCGAAAAGCUUCGGGGAGUCGGCAAACAGACUUUGAUCCGGAGAUCUCUGAAUGGGGGAACCCACCUAGGAUAACCUAGGUAUCUUGUACUGAAUCCAUAGGUGCAAGAGGCGAACCAGGGGAACUGAAACAUCUAAGUACCCUGAGGAAAAGAAAUCAACCGAGAUUCCCUUAGUAGUGGCGAGCGAACGGGGAUUAGCCCUUAAGCUUCAUUGAUUUUAGCGGAACGCUCUGGAAAGUGCGGCCAUAGUGGGUGAUAGCCCCGUACGCGAAAGGAUCUUUGAAGUGAAAUCGAGUAGGACGGAGCACGAGAAACUUUGUCUGAACAUGGGGGGACCAUCCUCCAAGGCUAAAUACUACUGACUGACCGAUAGUGAACCAGUACCGUGAGGGAAAGGCGAAAAGAACCCCGGAGAGGGGAGUGAAAUAGAACCUGAAACCGUAUGCGUACAAGCAGUGGGAGCCUACUUGUUAGGUGACUGCGUACCUUUUGUAUAAUGGGUCAGCGACUUAUAUUCAGUGGCAAGCUUAACCGUAUAGGGUAGGCGUAGCGAAAGCGAGUCUUAAUAGGGCGUUUAGUCGCUGGGUAUAGACCCGAAACCGGGCGAUCUAUCCAUGAGCAGGUUGAAGGUUAGGUAACACUGACUGGAGGACCGAACCCACUCCCGUUGAAAAGGUAGGGGAUGACUUGUGGAUCGGAGUGAAAGGCUAAUCAAGCUCGGAGAUAGCUGGUUCUCCUCGAAAGCUAUUUAGGUAGCGCCUCAUGUAUCACUCUGGGGGGUAGAGCACUGUUUCGGCUAGGGGGUCAUCCCGACUUACCAAACCGAUGCAAACUCCGAAUACCCAGAAGUGCCGAGCAUGGGAGACACACGGCGGGUGCUAACGUCCGUCGUGAAAAGGGAAACAACCCAGACCGCCAGCUAAGGUCCCAAAGUUGUGGUUAAGUGGUAAACGAUGUGGGAAGGCUUAGACAGCUAGGAGGUUGGCUUAGAAGCAGCCACCCUUUAAAGAAAGCGUAAUAGCUCACUAGUCGAGUCGGCCUGCGCGGAAGAUGUAACGGGGCUCAAACCACACACCGAAGCUGCGGGUGUCACGUAAGUGACGCGGUAGAGGAGCGUUCUGUAAGCCUGUGAAGGUGAGUUGAGAAGCUUGCUGGAGGUAUCAGAAGUGCGAAUGCUGACAUGAGUAACGACAAUGGGUGUGAAAAACACCCACGCCGAAAGACCAAGGGUUCCUGCGCAACGUUAAUCGACGCAGGGUUAGUCGGUUCCUAAGGCGAGGCUGAAAAGCGUAGUCGAUGGGAAACAGGUUAAUAUUCCUGUACUUCUGGUUACUGCGAUGGAGGGACGGAGAAGGCUAGGCCAGCUUGGCGUUGGUUGUCCAAGUUUAAGGUGGUAGGCUGAAAUCUUAGGUAAAUCCGGGGUUUCAAGGCCGAGAGCUGAUGACGAGUCGUCUUUUAGAUGACGAAGUGGUUGAUGCCAUGCUUCCAAGAAAAGCUUCUAAGCUUCAGGUAACCAGGAACCGUACCCCAAACCGACACAGGUGGUCGGGUAGAGAAUACCAAGGCGCUUGAGAGAACUCGGGUGAAGGAACUAGGCAAAAUGGCACCGUAACUUCGGGAGAAGGUGCGCCGGCUAGGGUGAAGGAUUUACUCCGUAAGCUCUGGCUGGUCGAAGAUACCAGGCCGCUGCGACUGUUUAUUAAAAACACAGCACUCUGCAAACACGAAAGUGGACGUAUAGGGUGUGACGCCUGCCCGGUGCCGGAAGGUUAAUUGAUGGGGUUAGCGCAAGCGAAGCUCUUGAUCGAAGCCCCGGUAAACGGCGGCCGUAACUAUAACGGUCCUAAGGUAGCGAAAUUCCUUGUCGGGUAAGUUCCGACCUGCACGAAUGGCGUAACGAUGGCGGCGCUGUCUCCACCCGAGACUCAGUGAAAUUGAAAUCGCUGUGAAGAUGCAGUGUAUCCGCGGCUAGACGGAAAGACCCCGUGAACCUUUACUGUAGCUUUGCACUGGACUUUGAGCCUGCUUGUGUAGGAUAGGUGGGAGGCUUUGAAGCGUGGACGCCAGUUCGCGUGGAGCCAUCCUUGAAAUACCACCCUGGCAUGCUUGAGGUUCUAACUCUGGUCCGUAAUCCGGAUCGAGGACAGUGUAUGGUGGGCAGUUUGACUGGGGCGGUCUCCUCCUAAAGAGUAACGGAGGAGUACGAAGGUGCGCUCAGACCGGUCGGAAAUCGGUCGCAGAGUAUAAAGGCAAAAGCGCGCUUGACUGCGAGACAGACACGUCGAGCAGGUACGAAAGUAGGUCUUAGUGAUCCGGUGGUUCUGUAUGGAAGGGCCAUCGCUCAACGGAUAAAAGGUACUCCGGGGAUAACAGGCUGAUACCGCCCAAGAGUUCAUAUCGACGGCGGUGUUUGGCACCUCGAUGUCGGCUCAUCACAUCCUGGGGCUGAAGCCGGUCCCAAGGGUAUGGCUGUUCGCCAUUUAAAGUGGUACGCGAGCUGGGUUUAGAACGUCGUGAGACAGUUCGGUCCCUAUCUGCCGUGGACGUUUGAGAUUUGAGAGGGGCUGCUCCUAGUACGAGAGGACCGGAGUGGACGAACCUCUGGUGUUCCGGUUGUCACGCCAGUGGCAUUGCCGGGUAGCUAUGUUCGGAAAAGAUAACCGCUGAAAGCAUCUAAGCGGGAAACUUGCCUCAAGAUGAGAUCUCACUGGGAACUUGAUUCCCCUGAAGGGCCGUCGAAGACUACGACGUUGAUAGGCUGGGUGUGUAAGCGUUGUGAGGCGUUGAGCUAACCAGUACUAAUUGCCCGUGAGGCUUGACCAU
rnacentral:rRNA from 1 species